rnacentral:rRNA from 1 species
GAUGAACGCUGGCGGCGUGCCUAAUACAUGCAAGUCGAGCGAACGGACGAGAAGCUUGCUUCUCUGAUGUUAGCGGCGGACGGGUGAGUAACACGUGGAUAACCUACCUAUAAGACUGGGAUAACUUCGGGAAACCGGAGCUAAUACCGGAUAAUAUUUUGAACCGCAUGGUUCAAAAGUGAAAGACGGUCCUGCUGUCACUUAUAGAUGGAUCCGCGCUGCAUUAGCUAGUUGGUAAGGUAACGGCUUACCAAGGCAACGAUGCAUAGCCGACCUGAGAGGGUGAUCGGCCACACUGGAACUGAGACACGGUCCAGACUCCUACGGGAGGCAGCAGUAGGGAAUCUUCCGCAAUGGGCGAAAGCCUGACGGAGCAACGCCGCGUGAGUGAUGAAGGUCUUCGGAUCGUAAAACUCUGUUAUUAGGGAAGAACAUAUGUGUAAGUAACUGUGCACAUCCUGACGGUACCUAAUCAGAAAGCCACGGCUAACUACGUG